rnacentral:rRNA from 1 species
CCUACGGGAGGCAGCAGUGGGGAAUAUUGCACAAUGGGCGAAAGCCUGAUGCAGCAACGCCGCGUGAGCGAUGAAGGCUUUCGGGUCGUAAAGCUCUGUCCUCAAGGAAGAAAAUGACGGUACUUGCGGAGGAAGCACCGGCAAACUACGUGCCAGCAGCCGCGGUAAUACGAAGGGGGCUAGCGUUAUCCGGAAUUAUUGGGCGUAAAGGGUGCGUAGGUGGUUUCUUAGGUCAGAGGUGAAAGGCUAGGGCUAAACCGUGGUCAGCCUUUGAAACUGGGGAGCUUGAGUGCAGGAGAGGUAAGUGGAAUUCCUAGUGUAGCGGUGAAAUGCGUAGAUAUUAGGAGGAACACCAGUGGCGAAGGCGGCUCUCUGGACUGUAACUGACGCUGAGGCACGAAAGCGUGGGGAGCAAACAGGAUUAGAUACCCCGGUAGUC